GGUCAUUCUUUGGCUACAGUGCCUGUCAUCAAAGGCUCAGCUUGAGGAAAAUAGAACUCAGCCUGCCAAAGAUAAGGAGUGCACAGUGUGGACACUGGCCGCUCACCUCACUGUUUGGAGUCCAGGCUAAAGGGGCCCUCUCCUGAGCAGUACUGGCCACUGAAUGGAUAUGGACACAAUUUCCUUCUCAGCAGUGGGGCCCGCUCCAGUCCUGAUUUGGGCUGGAACUUGAUUUACUACUUUAGCUUUGUUUUGAAUUGGGAACCUUUUUAUUACUAAACUUCAUUCAAAUUAGACCUUUGUUCCAGCCUUUUAGUUGGUACUAUUAGUUACAAAAUUGAUAAAUGCUAAACCUUGUAUAAAUUGUAUAGGCCUCAGGAAGGCCAACUGGUCGAGGAACAUCUGCUUUAAGAAUUACAUUAAGCAUUGGUUGUCCUGCUUCCUUUCCAGGACCCUAACCUUAUUAGAGUAGCUGAAGCUGAAAUGUUAAUGCCGAUUAGUCCUGUCUCCAAAGUGGGCCCUGGCAUGGGGUGAAAAUUGGACAGUGACAAGCUGUCACAAACACUAAAAUGUCAACGAAAGCAUUUCUUACCCACGGCAGAUGUACGGAUAUAAUUUGCAAGGAGAUUAAGUUUUACAAAGUCAAUGAAUAGUGCUUUCUGUAACCUUUGGUGCUGAGAUACAGACCCGCUUUUCAAAUUUUCACAAGGGGCAGAAUUUAAGGAGGACUUUCACGGCUUAUUUCAAAGUGAAACUGGACCUGGGUCCUACGUCACUGCCCAAAGAGAUGGUGCUGGCUGUGUCACAGUAACCGCCCUGCGGGGGAAGAGCAGCGCUCAGACGGCUGCCGUGAGGUCGCUGCUGGGCUCUGGGCCGGAUGCCCGCGUGAAGGCCUUGAAAUGUCUCUAUCGCUCCUCAGUAGAAGUAAGUACAGGGCCAGGCCUCUCGGGCCGUCCCGCCUUGCAGCGUGGUCCAGCCUGCAGUGCGACGCCUUCCAUCAGCUACUUUGUCGUUUGCUUUUCCCUGGCUGAGUUCUUCCUCUUGUUAUUACUCAAAAUGCUCCAUUACUGCCUGUGUCGCCAGCACUCAGUACUUUGGAAGUUCUCUCCAUUCUUUUUUUUUUUUUUAAAACAUUUUUUAUUAUUAUUUAUUUAUGAUAGUCAUACAGAGAGAGAGAGAGAGAGAGAGGCAGAGACACAGGCAGAGGGAGAAGCAGGCUCCAUGCAGGCUCCAUGCAGGGACUUGAUCCCAGGUCUCCAGGAUCACACCCUGGGCCAAAGGCAGGCUCUCAACCACCCUGGCGUCCCUUACUUUGUUUUUAUUUUAUUUUUUUAAAGAUUUUAUUUAUUAAUUCACGAGAGACACACACACACAGAGGCAAAGACACACACAGGCAGAGGGAGAAGCAGGCUCCAUGCAGGAAGCCUGAUGCAGGACUCGAUCCCACGUCUCCAGGAUCAUGCCCUGGACUGAAGGCGGCACUAAACCGCUGAGCCACCAGGACUGCCCCUCUUACCUUGUUUUUAUAAAUAGUUCUGUAGUGGAACACUUUCCUGACAGGGAAGGGCAUGUCGCUGAUUUCAGUUUUGCUAAUCCAACAGCGAGCAUUUAAAUACAGAGAGGUAGGUCAUGGUGCUGUGAGGCCCCCCUGGGCAAACAUUUUCAGGGACUUUAUAAUCAUACGUGUCACUUCAUGGCCACCUAUUUUCUAUGUAGAAAGAAGUUCCUCACAUAAGAGCUUUUUUGACUGAUGAUGGUUUUCUUCCACUUUUGGGAAUUUCCUACCAAGUGGACUCUACUGUAACAACAGACAUUUCCCCCUCAGUUCCCAGUUUUAGUGCCCUAUAUGCUUUAUGACCUCACCUGCCAGCUUCUGGUGAUAAUUCCUAGCAGAUCAGGUGAGAGGUUGGCCCCGGAACUGGCUAUGGUCUUUCAGAGCAUGCCUUACAAGACAAAUGUGCCUGCCAUUCCAGAUUCUACCUCUAGCUAUUGCCUGGGAUUCCCAGAAAUUAGAGGACUCAGGGUGUCCUCACCCCUCCAGCAAACAGCCAGAGAGUCCUGAGUGCACAGGUUGCCAGGCUUCAUUUCAUCAUUUGGUUUUAUGCUUUUAAAUGUUGUUCUACGGAACUUAGAGGAGUCCACCCCAUGCCUUCUUUUUCACUCUUUUUAGACUAAUGAGGUGGCCCAUGCAAGUUAGACAAGCCAAAUUAAUCUCAACGAAUGCAACUCAUAACACCAUAAAAGCAAAUAGAUGACUUUAACUCAGCUAGCCAGAGCAUCUUCUUGGCAUGGGAGGUGCAUCAUUGUUCUUUGCUGUCAUUUGACCGGAGGAGUGAAAGUGACAGUUGUGACCUCCAUCCUCCUAAAGCCAAUUUUAUACGAGCAUCAGUUAUAUGUUAGGGUAAAAGCCCGUGUGUGUGUGUGUGUGUGUGUGUGUGUGUUUUAAUGAUUUUAUUUAUUUAUUUAUGAGAGACACACACACAGAGAGAGAGAGAGAGAGAGUCAGAGAUAUAGGCAAAGGGAGAAACAGGCUCCCUGCAGGAAGCCCGAUGUGGGAUCCCAUCCCAGGACCCCAGGAUCAUGACCUGAGCCAAAGGCAGACACUCAACCACUGAGCCACCCAGGUGUCCCAAGCCCAUUGUUUCUAAAGAAAAAGGAUAAGAUAACAAGUUCUGACUGUGCAUCAAAUCUGCUUUAUUUGAGAAGGAACUAACUAAAUACUGCAUCACAAAUCCUGACAAAGAGGCUUGGAUGACCGUAUAAAAGGGACCGUGUCAGAAUAAAUAAUAAUAAAUGGCUUUCUUGGGCAUCCAGCAUAAAUUUCCUCAUCUAAAAUGAUGUGUUUCAGUGAUGAAGCAAAGAUGGCAUAAGAGCGGAUGGGUGAUGGUCCAUUUUGUUCUGCUAUCUGCAGAAACACAGAAGUGAUGCCUCCCCUCAUGCAGGAGUACUGGGGCCUAUACGAAGGGCAUCCUGCCUCUCCUCAGGGAGUUUCACAAGCUGCUGAUAACAGCCAGGCCAGCCUCCUGCUAAGGUAUCUGUGAAGGAGAACCAAGGCAACAGUAUCCAUAGAGAAAAAUGGGUAUUCCGGAGAACAUGAGUCAAAGCUGAGGAAGUAAGCAAAGGAAAAAAAAACAAAAAACAAAAACUGGUAAAAACAAAGUAAACAGGAAAAGAUCUGUUCUAUUAAAACUCGAACCUUUUUCUACCUGUAAAAUUAGAACAGAGAGUAUCUCUUUCCAGCGUGCAUGUUCAAUUCCCUUGCCAGAAACUUAUUAGGGCACCUCUGCCAUGGGAAGUAGGUUGCGUUUUAAUGAUCCAAAGCACUUUGUGAGACACCGCUAAAGAAAGAAGCUCAAAAUGCUGUGGCCCAGGAACCCUUGAACUGCUGAUGGAUGGUGAAGCCCACCCAAGCCACAGGGCCCUGGAAGGGAGUUCAUCAGGUAUAGGUAAUUCUCACAGUGGUUUACAAAGACAGGUCUUACCUUCACCUAACAUAUGCCCAUCAACCCUAGCUGCAAAUCUGAACCAUGCAGAGGGCUUUGAGAACCCUAGUCCAACAUUCUAGGAAUCUCUGGGGCGCCACAACCCCAUACAUCUGUUACUUUUUUAAAGCUCCUCAGGUAAUACCAAUGCCCAGUCAAGGUUCAGAACCACUGGCCUAGAAUAACGUGAUGUAUAUAGACAAGCAAGUCAUUUGUGAUACCCAGGCCAGUUAUUUGGGAACCCCCCUUAAAGCCUUUCACAUGGGAGAAAUGUUUAUAAAAACGUAAUAAUAGUAAUAUUUUAUGUGUCUAGUACUUUGUAUUUGAACAUAAAAUUUGUGUUUUUAUGCUCUUAUGAAAGUACUGUCCUGGGAAAAUGCUUAAUAGCUUGUAAAACUAUUCAAAUGUUAGAUAUCAUCAAUCUCCUAUAACUGAGAAAAUAAGCAGAGUGAGAAAUCUAAGACUUGUGUAGGACCUCACUAAACAAGUGCCUGGCAAAUCUUGUACUAAAAUCAGGGCUCCUGAUUGCCCCUCAUCCCUCUACACAACUGAGAUUCAUGACUAUCUUUAAAGGGAACCUAAAAUGUUGAUACAUUUGGUUUCCUCUAUUAUGAACUGUGAUUCAGCCUCAUACACAAAUACAUAUUAAAUUGUUUCAGGUUGCUUUGGAAAAUGUGUUACUUUAGUGUCUCACCUCAAUGAUAAAAAAAUCACAGAUGAAACAAGCUGUCAAUCUCAGCAUGUCUGAAUGUUUCAGUUAGUUAUUGCUGUUGUCAAUAUCUGCUAGUUUUCUUUAUUUCACUUGCCCUGCACCUACAGCAAGUAUCAAGUUUCCAGAAAAAUUACUGACAGAAAAUCUAAAAAAAGGAAGACAAUUUUAUGUAUAGUUUCUUUUUCUGCAAACUGGGAUAGAUCAAAACUUCUUUUCAUGGCUGGAUGUUUCAGAACAACUCCAGAGAAGCUGACGUGGAGAUGGGUAAAGCUGUGCCAGCAUAUUCCUUAAGGGUUGACAUACUGGUCAGUGAUUCCUGCCCCUCAGGCCACAUCAGGGCUCCUCCUCCUCAUGACCUGAAGGUUAACAGUCAGAGCUAUGAGACACGUAUUGAACACCCAUUAAGUGUCAGAUGUUUUACACAUGGGGUCUCGUUCAGUCCUGAGCCACGCUGCCAGGUAUUUGUUAUCACCUCUACUUUAUACACAAGGAAAUUGAGACUCAGAGAUUAUGUAGCAUUUCCAAGUCCAAUAUCCAGUAAAUGACUGAACUGGGACAGGAAAUGAAGAUUACCCCUGGACUCCAACUCAUGCAUUCUAGGCAGAGCUGCACCUUCCAGGCACCUGAGUUUCCUAAGCAUUCUGGUGGAUACCACUGAGUUCACCCACUCUUCCACUGUGAGGAGAUAGGAGCCCUGUGCCUCCUUGAUGCAUCUGUAGAUAUGUUUAGAUAAAUUUUCUGAGGGGUAGUUUCUCCCACAUAGGGUAGAAGUCAGUGCAAGAGGAAGAAUGGGGCAUGAGUGUGGGGUCUCUUGACACCAGACCAUGAAACUUUGGUGGAGGCCCCUCCUAUUCACAAUGGAGUGAAAUUGCUCUUCCAGCAAAGUUAUCUUCUCCAUUCUCAAAGGGAAAGAGGGACGAGGGGUUGGGGGCAUGAGAGCUCUGCCCUUUUACUCCCAGCACCGGUCAAGACAACCAUAUUACCCUCUCAGUCAGCUCCAAAAUGAUUAUUUUUAACUGAGCAAGGGUCUUAAGCCUAACAGAUACUGAUUAGAACUAUAAAUAACUUCAGACAGUAAAGAAGUAUGAAAUCUUAAAAAAAAAAAAAAUUGUUGAGUUUCCAGAAUGUCUAAGAGGUCACACCAACUAAAACUGCUGAACCAACUUUAAAAAAAAUAAGCAAAUAAGCAUUGAUUAAAAUUUUAAUUGAAAAGGGACCUCUUACAGCUUUUUAUGGACCCUAUCCCAACUUUUUCUCCAUCUCAUGGGUGGUAAGGUGAAUUGGACUCCUUUUCAUGGGUGGAAGGUUUGGAAGGAUGUCUGUGGAAGUCAUUUCUCCUACUUAUUUGGUAAGUUGAGCUGACCUAAUUUAUCCAACAUAGAAGGUCAAGAAUCUGGCAGAUUUUUAAGAAUGUUCUAGUGAUCAUUUUCUUUCACCAUCAAAUGGGAAAACAUCUGAACUUUCUGGAUCUUGGUGCUCCCCACAGCAUGGAAAUUCCACUGUUUUGUCUUUGCUGGUCUCUGUGUGGAAUUGUCUUUGUUACUUCCUGGCCUCUUGGUUUGUUGAGUCUAUAUUGAAUCAGACUUAGUUUCCUGUUUUGACUUAAAUGUUAAAGAGACAUUCAGAGAACUGAAUGAGUAAAUAUUGGAAAAGAUCAUUAUGGAUGGAUCAUUCAGUUUGAUUUUAUGAGUACACCAAAGAAAAUGAAUAUUAAGAGUUUUUAAACUUAAAAAUAAAGUGCUUAUUUUGCAUUAUAGCAGUAAUAUUUGUUUAUUGUGCAGACUUAGAAAAUGAGAAAAGCACUUCAUGAUCCCAUCUUGCAGAGUUACUGAGACUAUUGACAUCUUCUAGAAUUUCCCUGCCUGCAUAUGUGUAUGUUUGUGUAAUAGGAUUAUACACUGCAUGCUAUUUCAUAGUGGUUUUUUUCAGUUGAUAAUAUAUCUUUUCAUGUCAUCAAGGUUUAGGAGGUUUGGGGUUUUUGUUUGUUUUGCAACUGGAAGCACUGUGACGAUGGACA
rnacentral:lncRNA from 1 species